AGCGAACGCUGGCGGCAGGCCUAACACAUGCAAGUCGAACGAACUCUUCGGAGUUAGUGGCGGACGGGUGAGUAACACGUGGGAACGUGCCUUUUGGUUCGGAAUAACUCAGGGAAACUUGUGCUAACACCGAAUGUGCCCUUCGGGGGAAAGAUUUAUCGCCAUUAGAGCGGCCCGCGUCUGAUUAGCUAGUUGGUGAGGUAACGGCUCACCAAGGCGACGAUCAGUAGCUGGUCUGAGAGGAUGACCAGCCACACUGGGACUGAGACACGGCCCAGACUCCUACGGGAGGCAGCAGUGGGGAAUCUUGCGCAAUGGGCGAAAGCCUGACGCAGCCAUGCCGCGUGAAUGAUGAAGGUCUUAGGAUUGUAAAAUUCUUUCACCGGGGACGAUAAUGACGGUACCCGGAGAAGAAGCCCCGGCUAACUUCGUG
rnacentral:rRNA from 1 species